AACGAACGCUGGCGGCAGGCUUAACACAUGCAAGUCGAGCGCCCCGCAAGGGGAGCGGCAGACGGGUGAGUAACGCGUGGGAAUCUACCCAGCUCUACGGAAUAACCCAGGGAAACUUGGACUAAUACCGUAUACGUCCUUCGGGAGAAAGAUUUAUCGGAGUUGGAUGAGCCCGCGUCGGAUUAGCUAGUUGGUGAGGUAAUGGCUCACCAAGGCGACGAUCCGUAGCUGGUCUGAGAGGAUGAUCAGCCACACUGGGACUGAGACACGGCCCAGACUCCUACGGGAGGCAGCAGUGGGGAAUAUUGGACAACGGGCGAAAGCCUGAUCCAGCCAUGCCGCGUGAGUGAUGAAGGCCCUAGGGUUGUAAAGCUCUUUCACCGGGGAAGAUAAUGACGGUACCCGGAGAAGAAGCCCCGGCUAACUUCGUGCCAGCAGCCGCGGUAAUACGAAGGGGGCUAGCGUUGUUCGGAAUUACUGGGCGUAAAGCGCACGUAGGCGGACUAUUAAGUCAGGGGUGAAAUCCCGGGGCUCAACCCCGGAACUGCCUUUGAUACUGGUAGUCUAGAGUUCGAGAGAGGUGAGUGGAAUUCCGAGUGUAGAGGUGAAAUUCGUAGAUAUUCGGAGGAACACCAGUGGCGAAGGCGGCUCACUGGCUCGAUACUGACGCUGAGGUGCGAAAGCGUGGGGAGCNNCAGGAUUAGAUACCCUGGUAGUCCACGCCGUAAAC
rnacentral:rRNA from 1 species